rnacentral:misc_RNA from 1 species
AAGUCGUAACAAGGUUUCCGUAGGUGAACCUGCGGAAGGAUCAUUAGCGUAAGAUGGAUGGGGGGGAAUGAGGUCGAAAGGCUUUAUUUCUCUCUCUCUAACAUCAUACACCAUGUGAACGAGAACGUGUCUCUGCGGCUGGAGGUGCGCCGGUGAAAGGAGGAGGGCGGAAGCUCUCUCACGCCGCGUGCCGCCAGCAUGCAUCUCGAAACCGUUGACAAUCUAACAAACCAUCACCGAUAUAAUAUAUAUAUAACCAAACACACAACUUUUAACAAUGGAUCUCUAGGCUCCU